rnacentral:rRNA from 1 species
UACAGAGGUCCCGAGCGUUGUUCGGAUUCAUUGGGCGUAAAGGGUGCGUAGGCGGCGGGCAAGUCUGAUGUGAAUCCUGGGCUCAACCCAGAACUGCAUUGGAUACUGCCUUGCUAGAGUACUGGAGAGGGAACUGGAAUUUACGGUGUAGCAGUGAAUGCGUAGAGAUCGUAAGGAAGGCCAGUGGCGAAGGCGAGUUCCUGGACAGUUACUGACGCUGAGGCACGAAGGCCAGGGAGCAAACGGG